rnacentral:rRNA from 1 species
UACGGGGGGAGCAAGCGUUGUUCGGAUUCAUUGGGCGUAAAGGGUGCGUAGGCGGCGCGGUAAGUCGGGUGUGAAAUCUCGGAGCUUAACUCCGAAACUGCAUUCGAUACUGCCGUGCUUGAGGACUGGAGAGGAGACUGGAAUUUACGGUGUAGCGGUGAAAUGCGUAGAUAUCGUAAGGAAGACCAGUGGCGAAGGCGGGUCUCUGGACAGUGACUGACGCUGAGGCACGAAGGCCAGGGGAGCAAACGGG